AUUCAUCCCACCAGUGGCCAAGUCUACAACAUUGAAUUCAACCCUCCCAAAACUGUUGGCAUUGAUGAUCUGACUGGGGAGCCUCUCAUUCAGCAAGAGGAUGAUAAACCAGAGAUGGAUAUCAAGAGACUAAAGGCUUGUGAACUGAAACAAAGCCAGUCUUAGAAUAUUACCAAAAAAAAAGGGGUAAUGGAAACAUUCUCCAGAACAGAAACCAAGAGGAUUUGGCCCUGUGUAUAUGCUUUCCUACCAACUAAAAUUCCACAAACAAGCCAGAAA
rnacentral:lncRNA from 1 species